rnacentral:rRNA from 1 species
ACGUAGGAGGCAAACGUUAUCCGGAUUUACUGGGCGUAAAGCGCGUGUAGGUGGUAGGGUAAGAAGGGAGGGAAAGAAGAUGGCGCAACUGGGAGAGGCCGUUCUAAACUACAGAACUAGAGGAUGGUAGAGGGAGGUGGAAUUCCAGGUGUAGCGGUGGAAUGCGCAGAUAUCUGGAGGAACACCGGUGGCGAAGGCGGCCUCCUGGACCAUUCCUGACACUCAGACGCGAAAGCUAGGGUAGCAAACGG